CUACCUGGUAGGUGACUGGAGGUGUU
rnacentral:piRNA from 1 species